GACUCAAAACAACAGGACUUGUAAAAAGAAAUAAAGUAAAAUGGCAAAGCGUCUCAUUUGGACACAAAAAUGGAAAGUUUACUUAAAAAUAAAAAGGAAAAGAAACUAAUCGUGUGCAACCUUUUCUGGACUUGUUCCGUGCACCUCUGAUGCCAUCUAGGGUGUUAGGCACCACUAGGACACUCCCAUGUUACCUGCACAAAUCGUAUAAAUGGAAAAUACCUGGUUACGGCCAGCUGUGGGCUUGCUUGUCAUCUCGUUGAUUCUCUCGUUAGCCGUGAGUUUUCCUUCGUUAGUCUUGUUGUUUAGUUCAUCUAGGGUCCUGUCCACGUCGUGUCCUGCGAGUUCUUGAAGUCUCUUCAUGCAUCCCGCUUCAUGUUCGUCCUUGGGUCUCGUUGGCUCGCUAACGGCUCCGAGUCUUGAAACGGUUGUAUCUUGAGGGUCCAAUGCGGCCUCUUCGAGAUUCUUGGUGUUCUGUGCUCAAUUUCCUGCCAAGUAAACAUGUAUACCCGAUUCUAGUUGAGGCUGGUUCUCUUUGAGGCUCAGACGCGUAAAACCCUCUAGUAAGUCUAAAUCGGGUCCUUUGGGGCUGUCUCGCGUGUAUUGUUCUUGAGGCUCGGUUUUGAUUGCAUCUCCAAGUUCCAUGGUACUUAGUAAUGAUUCCACGGCCAAGUUAAACCCUUCUCUAAGCCUCCUUGCUUUGGAACGGGUCAUUGGUGCUUCUUUGAGCUCGGGAACGACCUUUGGGUCUGGUGAUGGCUCGAUGGCCUCAUCAUUCCCUCCCUCUUCAAGAGGUUUUGUCCUCAAAACUUUUUCACCUGCAUCAUAAGGAGACAAAUCAGCAACAUUAAAGCUAUGUGAAAUGUUUAACUCACCUGGGAGCUCUAAUCGGUAGGCGUUGUCAUUGAUCUUCUCAAGCACUUUGAAAGGUCCAUCUCCGCGAGGUGCAAGUUUGAAACUCCUUUGCUGUGGGAACCUUUCGGGUCUCAUAUGCAGCCAGACCCAUUCUCCUGGUUCAAAAACAAGUUUCUUGCGUCCUUUGUCAGCUCUCCUUUUAUACUCCUCCGUUUUCUUCACUAUGUUAUCUCGGGCCUUUUCAUGUAUCUUUUUCACAAACUCUCCUUUCUUGAGGCCGUCUAGAUUAACUUGUUCAGCUUGGGGUAUUGGCGAGAGAUCUAAAGGCGUCAGUGGAUUAAAUCCAUACACAACUUCAAAAGGAGACAUCUUAGUAGCCGAGUGAGUAGCAUGAUUAUAAGCAAAUUCAAUGAAAGGCAAACAAUCUAACCAUGUUUUCAAAUUUCGACCGAGAGUGACCCUAAGUAAAGUAGAUAAUGUACGGUUUACCACUUCAGUUUGCCCAUCCGUUUGAGGAUGACAAGUUGUAGAGAAUAGAAGCUUGGUUCCAAGCUUUCUCCAAAGGGUCCUCCAAAAGUGGCUUAAGAACUUAGAGUUUCGGUCAGAGACAAUCGUUCUAGGCACUCCAUGUAAUCUCACCACCUCUUUAAAGAAAAAAUCCGCGGUUUGUGUGGCAUCAUUAGUCUUGUCACAUGGUAUGAAGUGCGCCAUUUUUGAAAAACGAUCGACAAUAACAAAGAUCGAGUCUUUGUGCCUGAUCUUGGGUAAGCCUAAUACAAAAUCCAUAGAGACAUCCACCCAUGGUGCGUUAGGGAUAGGUAAAGGUAAAUAUAGACCAUGAGGAUGUAACCUGGACUUGGUUUUAUGGCAUGUAACACAGCGUGAGCAAUGCCUCUCCACGUCUCUCUUGAGAUGCGGCCAAAAGAAAUGGUCUACGAUUACAGCCAAUGUCUUGUCUACCCAAAGUGACCCAUGAGGCCUCCACCGUGUGCUUCUUUCAGCAACAGCUCCCUCAAAGACCCUUGAGGAACGCAUAGCCUCUUGUCUCGGAAAAGAAACCCAUCGUGUAAGUGAUACGUGGUAUAAGCUCCCGUGCCAUGUCCUUGAUAAGCUUCUCCGAACUCGGGAUCAUCUUUGUAUAGCUCCUUGAUAUGCUCAAAGCCGAGUACCUUGGCCUCCAUAGUAGAUAUCAAUGUAUGCCUUCUUGAGAGUGCAUCGGCCACCACAUUCUCUUGUCCCUUCUUGUACUUGAUCACAUAAGGAAAAGUCUCUAUAAACUCCAACCAAUUAGCAUGGCGUCUCUUAAGUGCGGUUUGUCCUCUUAAGUUCUUUAAAGUCUCGUGAUCAGUAUGAAUGAUGAACUCCUUGGACAACAAGUAAUGCUGCCAGGUCUCCAAUGCUCGGACUAAGGCAUAUAACUCCUUGUCGUAGGUCGGAUAAUUUAGUGUGGCUCCACUGAGCUUUUCACUGAAGAAUGCCACUGGUCUCUUUCUUUGGUGUAGUACAGCUCCAAUUCCCACCCCUGAAGCAUCACACUCCACCUCAAACAUCUCGUCAAAGUCUGGUAGGGCUAAGACAGGUGCUUGUGUUAAUCGGCUUUUCAUGGCUUCAAAAGCUGCAUCUUGGGCUGGCCCCCAUGAGAAGGGCGCGUUCUUCUUGAUCACCGCGGUGAGUGGGGCGGCCACCGUGCUGAAAUAUCGUACAAAACGCCUGUAGAAGCUGGCCAGGCCAUGAAAGCUUCUAACAUGACCGAUUGUAGUUGGUGUAGGCCACUCGCGUAUUGCCUUGAUCUUCUCCUCGUCUACUUGUAAUCCCUGUUCACUUACUACAAAGCCUAAGAAAACAAGCUUGUUAGUACAAAAUGUGCACUUCUUAAGGUUAGCAUAUAGGCCUUCCUUGCGAAGUGUUUUAAGCACUAGUUCGAGGUGUUGAAGAUGAUCAUUAAGGUUCUUACUAUAAAUAAGUAUAUCAUCGAAAUAAACAACUACGAAUUUACUUAUAUAAGCUCAAAGAACCUGGUUCAUAAGGCGCAUGAAGGUGCUUGGUGCAUUAGUCAAGCCAAAAGGCAUAACUAACCACUCAUACAAGCCUUGCUUGGUCUUAAAUGCGGUCUUCCACUCGUCUCCUUCACGCAUUCGAACCUGGUGGUAUCCACUCUUUAAGUCCACCUUUGAAAAGAUUGUGGAUCCGCUUAGCUCGUCCAACAUGUCAUCUAGGCGUGGGAUGGGGUGCCUAUAUUUGAUGGUGAUAUUGUUGAUGGCAUGGCAAUCCACACACAUUCUCCAUGUACCAUCUUUCUUGGGUACUAAGAGAACCGGCACAGCACAAGGACUGAGACUCUCACGGAUAUAACCCUUGUCCAUUAGGUCUCGUACUUGUCUCUCUAGCUCCUUAGUCUCCUCGGGGUUCAUCCUAUAAGCUGGCUUGUUGGGCAAGGCUGAACCGGGAACUAAUUCAAUUUGGUGCUCUAUGUCACGAAGUGGUGGCAAUCCUGGUGGUUUCUCUUCGGGAAAUACAUCCUUAAACUUGUUCAGAAUAGCUUGCACUUCUGGUGGUAUCUCAGAGUCACCUAGACCUGCGCUUAGACACUCUUUAAACAUCAUUAGUAGCACGGUGCCUUUGGCACUCAUGGUUUUGUAAACAUCACUAGAUGAUAAAUAAAGACUGCUUUUACUUAGCUCGGAUUCUUUAUUCAUGUGUACUUGCAUCUCAUGAACCUCGGUGGGGCUUAGAGGCGCAAGAUUGUACUUACGCUCCUUGUACAUGAAAGAGUAAUGGUUGGUGCGGCCAUUGUGGGUCGUGGCUCGGUCAAAUUGCCACGGUCUACCGAGUAAUAUAUGUCCGGCUUGCAUGGGCACCACAUCACAAGUGACUUGAUCAUGGUAUUUGCUGAUACUAAACGGUAUGGACACUUGCUCGGAGAUCUUGAGCUCGGUCUGGUUGUUUAACCACCUUAACUUAUAAGGACGAGGAUGCUUUGUCUUCUCAAGACCUAACCUGUCCACCAUAUACUUGCUAGCCACGUUAGUACAUGAACCACCAUCUAUGAUAAGGUUACAUAUCUUGUUCUUGACGGUGCAUCUAGUAUGAAAUAUGUUCUCUCUUUGGGCUGUUUCCUCAGGGUGAACUAGGACGCUUAGCACUCGGCGAGUCACUAAGAGUUCGCCAGUAUCUGGAUAUUCAACUUCCUCCUCCAAGUUGUUAGAGUCAUCUUCUUGUUCAUCUUGCGAUUCAUAGUCACCACUGGGGGUAAUGAUCAUGACUCGCUGAUUUGGGCACUCCCUUGACAUGUGACCCCUGCCUUGACAUCUAAAACAAGUUAUAUCACGAGUCCUUGAUGUGGGAUUAGAGGGCUUACCUUGUUCGGCUCUGUUGAAUUUGGGAGCCUCGGUGCCUUUGCCUUUGAAUCUUGAUUCAAUCUCCACGGCUUUGCCUUUGUGUACCGGCUUAGAGCUGCUGGCGUUCCAUGGUUGGCUCGUGCGGUUGCGGCUAGUAAGAGUGGUCUUGCGCUUGAUUUGCUGCUCCACUUGAACGGCAAGAUGCAAUAGCUCGUGUAACCCACUAUAUUGAGCUCUCUCCACCUUUCUUGCUAUUCUCUCUUGUAAACCGUCGAUGAACUGAACCAUCAAGGCUUCCUCCGAUUCUUCUAACUCCAACGAGUUCAUCAGCUUCUCAAACUCCUCAAAAUAUUCAUCUACGCUUCUGUUUCCCUGAGAAAAUUUGCGAAAACGCUUUUGUAAGUCUCUAUGAUAGUGUUCAGGUACAUACCUAAGUCGUAGGAGGAAUUUCAUGUCGCUCCAAGUGACGACUGGUCCAAAGCGUUGCCUCCUUCUCUCGGCUACGUUUCUGUCCCACCACGCUAAGGCAUUGUCAGUGAGCUGUGCAGCCGCAACAGCCACCUUCUUGCGUUCAGCGUAGCCAUAGCACUCAAAGAUGUGCUCUAGUCGCCUCUCCCAAUCCAAGUAUGCCUCGGGGUCCGACUUUCCUGCAAAAGUAGGAGGUGUUAGCUUGAGAUCAUGAGUUUGCUCUCGGGUAUCUACUACCCUAGCUGGAUUUCUCCUUAGAGGAUCCGGCCUCCUCUGCUGUCGAUGCUGAAGAGGAUCAGGUGGAAAUUCAUCCUCUAGUUCGGGCAUCUCUUCAUCAUCACUCGCGUCACCGGCUUGCACUUGUGCUCCUCGAACUGGGGCUGUCCUUGGUUGUGCCUCAACUCGGUCUAUUCUGGCUCCAAGUUCUUGCCGAAUGUUUCCCAUUUGUUGAGUCAUGUUCCUCAACUCCUCUCUCAUUGCGGUCAUCAUUUGGACAAGAGCAUCGUUUGGAACAGGUUCUCCUUCGGCCAUGAUACUAGUUAACCUCUCUUGGUGUCCUUGUACUCAACAAAAACAACAACUAGUCACAAGUACCACCAAAUCAAAACGCUAGACUAUUUGACUCGCUACUUAAAUGAAACUAAAUAACUUUUGAUAUGGUUUUCAAAUUUUUUAGUAUGCAAAGAACAAGGAUUAACGAUCUAAAAAAUCUAGCAAUGCAACGGAUUCCUUUCUUUUUUUUUUUUUGGGACUAUUGAAUACGAAAGCAAGCAAUUAAAUUUUUCUAGGGUUUUCGGUUUUAUGAAUCAAAAUAAGCUAAACGAGUAUGAAUAAAAAUGAAAGAGUGUAAGGGAUAGAAAACCAAUGGCAGGAACCUUUGGCUCUGAUACCAAAAUGAUAUAAGACUCGGGUGAGGCUUAUAUGAUUGCGGAAUCGAUGACUUGGUGGGAACAACACGCUGGCUAUGACGCUCUCUCGUGUAGUUCAGUGGAUGAGGAUGGUAAGACAAGGCUUGCUUCCACAAGACUUGAAUCGAGAUGGGAUCUGUCAAGCAGGCUUUAACGCUCUCUCUUGAGGGAUCGGUAAGGGGUUUGGAAGUGGAUCGAAGGCACCACAGAGAUGAUGGAGGAUCUCUGAUACUGCGGCUUGCCUCUUGGUGAAUCUCACACGCAAGAACACAAACAAAGUCUCUCAAGCACAAGCUAAGAGGAAAACGGCGUUAUUUUAUUGAUAUCGGGAAAAAAGGUUGAAGUACAAGAGCUGCAUGUGGGACUUUAUAAACAGUCCGUCAGCUUUGAACCUUCUAGGGUUCGAAUCAAAGAAUAAAAUGACACUAAGGACUCAAAGCAACAGGACUUGUAAAAAGAAAUAAAGUAAAAUGGCAAAGCGUCUCAUUUGGACACAAAAAUGGAAAGUUUACUUAAAAAUAAAAAGGAAAAGAAACUAAUCGUGUGCAACCUUUUCUGGACUUGUUCCGUGCACCUCUGAGCCAUCUAGGGUGUUAGGCACCACUAGGACACUCCCAUGUUACCUGCACAAAUCGUAUAAAUGGAAA
rnacentral:lncRNA from 1 species